AUCAGGGCUUUGUAAGAUUUCUUAGGAGGAAUGUCCACUAAGGGUAACACAUACAGCCUUAGAUCGGCCUGUGUAAGGAGCAGCGCUUUGUAAUAUUCUGACAGAAUACUGAAUAAAAUGUUCAAAAAUAGGAAGUCCUUUUUUUAUUGAUAUGAUUGGCAUUACAAGCGAGUUUUAUGGACUUUUCCGUUCACGAUAGAACUGCUUUAGGUGUUUGGCAUUCCAAGGAUGGGGUAAGGGUCUAUCCCCCAAGUUUUCCAAUUCAUAGGCCUCCUUUAGCAAGACCUCUAUCACCAGAUAGGGUCCUUCUUAGUUUGGACUAGGCAUCCACUGCCUACCUCUCUUUGUGAGGAUCCGACCUCGAAUACAUAUGUUCGGAUUCCAUAUCGCCAUCUGCACUAUUAGGGGGUUGCGUUGAUGAUUGGUACAGGCUUUCCACUGACAUCUUUCGGCGAGCUCCAUGUUCCCUUUGACUUCACCCACACCAUGGUGUGGGAAAUUUGAUAGAAUAAUGAUAUAGGGAAACUGCUGCUCUCAGGCUGAAGAGUAUGGGUUGUCCCAUCACAGCAUCAUAAGGGGAGAGAAUGUCGAAUACCAUGAAUUCGGAGUUUAUCUUCACCUGCCGGGGUACUGAUCCUGACUCAACUUUAAGUUUGAUUGAUCCUUUGACAGAGGUCAAGGCUCCGCUUAAUCCUAGGACCAUAUUCAGGUGUGGUCGAAGGAAGUUAGCAGGGAUACCCAUCCAUUUAAGGGUAUUGCUAAAUAGGAUGUUCAGAGCGCUUCCUAUAUUCGCCAAGAUUUUGGGGAUAGUUACCCCAGCCACAGGCAACGAGAUAACUAGAACUAUAGGAUAAAGAUGUGGGUCCGCCUCCUCCUCCUCAAAGGAUAGUUGCUCAUCUGUGGCUUUUUUGAGGUUCUUCUCAGUUAUGUCGAUCUCUGAGAGAUCCGCAACGGCUGGUCUUUUUCAAUCUGGCCUCCCCGGCUUGCAUGUUCGUCCUGCCCCUUAGCAUGUUAACUCGUGGCAUUGGCAGGUCGACAUUGCAGGCCCUCGCAGCAGCUUGAUCCCCUCAAAUAAUUCCUGACCCGUGAAGAGUGGAGAAUUUCAUGCAAUAAUGGUAAAUUGAGGUGGUAGCUUUCAGCUCGUGCAAAAUGGGUCGUCCCAAUAUUGCAUUAUAAUUGGAUGGCAAAUCGACCACCACAAAAUCUGCUAGAAUCCUUCUUUGGUUAGGAGCUUCGCCUAGCUCCACGAUAAGGACGAUUUGACCUCAGGCUUCAAUAGGAUCCCCAAAGAAUCCUUGUAGUUUCUUUAGAUACGGUUGGAGAUAGUGUUCUGAUAUUUCCAACUGCCUCAAAGUUCGUGAGUACAGUAUGUUGACCGAACUUCCAUUGUCUACCAAAGUUCGAUGGACUUUUACUCCAGCAUCAUUCAUUGUAACCACUAGGGCAUCACUCUAAUCCUGAAGGAUUCCUUCAGAAUCUUCUUUCGUAAACCAGAACCAUUCAGAGUCUAUACCGAUGCUGGGGGUUGGAUCUCGGUAGUUCGGCAUGGUUUUUGCACUUCGGGCUUGUCUUUGUCUCACCCUUCUGGAUCCCUCAACAUACUGAUUUCCUCCCACCAUCAUCUUGAUUUUAGCAUGUGAGGGUGGAUUACGGUUGGGGACUACCUGCUGAACUCGCGUGGGAGGCCCCUGCAGCAGCGGCUGUUGCGUCGUAGGUCGAUCUGCUUCUUUUGGCUUGGCAACAAACUCCUGUAAACGACCUCUUCAAAUUAGGGACUCAACUUCCUCUUUUAAGUCCCGACAGUUAUCGGUGUCAUGGCCCACCAUCCUGUGAUAUCGGCAGUAUCGUCCCUGAUAUUGUCCUGCCUGUCCGUCCUUUAUGAUCAUGGGUCUGCGAAAUGCCUCUUUCGCAUUGGCUUGCAUGAAUACCUCUUCCAAGGAGGCUUUGAGUGGGUGGUACUCUCGAAAUUUGUAUGGCUGAGCCCUAGGAUGUUCUCUUUCUCUCCUGUCCUUCUUUCUUUCGGGCAGGGGGCUGCUACUUGGUUUUUUCUCCUUUACAGUGUUGUUGAGGUCGGGUUCGGAGGUCUCCUCCUCUUGGUCAAAGGUCGCUUCUUCAGCACUUAUAUAUUUCUCAGCUCGGUUAAGGAGCUCAUGAUAAGUCUUUGGACCGUCCUCGUGUACUGACCACCAGAAUCUUGUUUUAGGCCUCAAUCCUGCUAGUACGGCCAUGAGUGCCGCAUUGUCAGAUAUUUUUUCCACUUCCAUGGAUUGCUUGUUGAACCUACUCAAAUAGCUUUUGAGGGAUUCAUUUCUUCCCUGCUUGAUGCUCAUUAGUCGUUCCUUUGGCGUGGUUCUGGCCUUGGAGCCCAUGAACUAAGCCAAGAACGGCAUAGCCAGAUCAUUCCAAUUCUUUACCGACCUCUCGUGCAGUCUCCUAAACCAUCUUUGAGUUUUGUCUCCUAAAGUUAGGGGGAAUGACCAGCACAUGAUUGCGUUGCUUGUCCCCUGUAGUUCCAUCCACGAGGUGUAUUUGUCAAGGUGGCUAAGGGGAUCACCAUCCCCUUCAUAUGCGGCGAUCUGGGGGAUUUUCAAUUUUUCAAGUAGUGGUUCCAUAAGGACAUCCUCAGUGAAGGGGGAAUGUCGUUUGAUUUGGUAAUCUUCAGUGUCACCUUUAUUUUUAGCCUCCAAGUCGGUGAUGCAUUUUUUAAGAGCGCUUAGUUCGGGUUCUGCUUGUUCCAACGGACGUUUCAGGUCGGCUUGUCCUUGCGUAUGAGUCAGUGAUUGCUGGGUCCCCAAUCUGUCGAACACACUUGCAGUCCUCGCCUCAGGUUCCUUACUUCUGACCUCGUUAGUUCGGCUUCUGAAGGAUUCUCCCCUUGAAAAGUGGAGAGUCCUCCUGGUGGGGGGACGCCUUGUCUGUGUCCUUACGAGGGAUUCUACCUCGGUAUCUAGUGGGGACGAGUGGGCUUGACUCCUUUCCGACCGUCCUACUGCGUUCGUCAAUUUUUCCAGGGCUUCCCUCAUGCCGGUCAUUUGAGGGUCUUGCCGUCGUGGAGAACUUGGUGGUGUGUUCGUUUCGUGAGGGUGGGUGUGAGAUGGAUUUCUGGAACUUAAACUACGACUCAUGGCUCUCGAAUUUUGAAUGAGACCAUUUUUCACAAUUAGGGCCCUACUUCUAGCGCCAAACUGUUGACGUCAAAAUUAGCAAGGAUAAUCUUAACCCAACUUUAAGAUUAAAGGGUGAUUUAUUGUUGAAAAAAGACCACAAAAUAUGUUUAGAGAGUGUAAUUAUGCCUUGAGUUAUUGUGUGAAAUCACUUGCCUUUUACAAGAGUCCUAUUCAACUAUUUAUACAUAGUUUCAGCCGAAAUUACAUCAAAUCAGUUAAAUCAGCAACAGUUCCGAGCUCGGAACUUGGGUCGCCGAAUUCUCCUUUUAUUGGUCGAUGAGGCCAGUAAUCAUGUGUCAAUGUGUUACCCAGGUAAUGAUGACCUGCAAGGUGCUGGAGUUCAAGGACUCAGAAUUGGUUGUUCCGGGCGGCGAUGAUGUCAACUAUGGCAAGUGUAUCUGAUUGAUAGGGUGAUGUGACAAUGGAUACUCAUGAUAUUUUUCUGAGAUAACGACGGGUUUGUCCGACCUGGGAGUAUGGGCCGAACUUACAUUUAACUAAGAUGGGGUUAGCGAACUGUUUUUAUUAGGUCGGAGUUCGGAUAUCAACACUCUUAAUGCAAUGAAGGUAAGGUAUUGGUAUAUGGUUCAAUUUGCUAGCAAAUUUCAUUUCGUGUUUAUGGUCGAAAGAAUGCACUCUUGAGAUAUGAGAUUGUGGUAGAAAGAAUGCACUCCUGAGAAAGAAUUAACUAGAAGUAGUGUACUCUAUCUACACAGAGAAAGCAUCUCCAAUAAUUGGACUCUAAAGAACACACUCUUGAGACGUGAUAUAUGAUAACGUUUGAUAUGAGUUAUAUAGAUAAUUGAAAGUGCGCAGUUUAGUCCCUGUCAUUCCUACUUGAUUCUAGCAUAUAUUUAUUGACACCACACACAUAAUCUCUUCGUUAAAUUUACUGAAGUUCCAUCUAGGUCAGAAGGCAUUUAACAUAAGUUCCAGAGAUGGCAAUUUUGAGAUUUUUUGUCUGUUCACGCUCUUAUGAUAGCUUGGACGAUAGUGCAAUCUUCUCGUUGUUGAUUACGGUGCUAUGAUAUAAAUGAACUUCUCCUAAACAUUUCAAUGUAAUACCUCUUUCACAAUGGAUUGAAGAAAUACAGACUCCAAAUGCCAUUUUGGCAAAGCACCAAGUAUCUUCAAGGUUGGAGGCUCUUUCCUAUAUGAAAGAUGCAGGCCAAGAAGAAAGUAACGACAAUAAUUUUUGAGAGCUAGCCAACCCAACGGUUUGAAGAUAGCAAGUUAUAAAUUAUCUUAUUUUAUACAAUAAUUUUCUAUUGUGUUAAGAGGAGUGUAAGAUGAUGGGCAAUAUGUAAAUGAAAUUUUUUCUUCGAUUUAUUACAAUGAUAUGUUUUGUCUAUUUGGUAUAGAUUAAUAAAGUUAUAUCAGUUUCAUGUAGGCCCAAA
rnacentral:lncRNA from 1 species